CGAAUUCACCGCGGUUGGAUCGACGUCUUCGCGAGAAGGCCUCGAGCCGCAUGCGGUCGACCUUGACGAUCGAAGAUGAUCUUUUCUCUCUCGUAUAUGCUGCCACUGCCGCGUUGGUUUUAACCGUGCGCUCACGCAGGCGCUGGGAGGAAAAGUUUCCUCGCAGGACGUCGAUUAAACUGCUGCGAGCUACCGGACACCGUCGGUGUGGAUGGUGUGGAUGCACGGUGCAUCCUGCGGCGCGCAGGGUAUGAUUUCAUCUUCGUGUGCUUUAUUCUGCGCUGGCCACUCUUCCCGCUGAUGUAUGAAAAGUUUAUUUAUGGGGGACGUGCCUCGUUCGAUCACGCAAGAGCCGCAUGACGGCAGUAACAUAGCACCACGUAGCGAUGCAGAGAGACACAAUAUAUGCCAACGAAGGUGACGCUACAGAAUGACGAGGACUUGCUUGCUGCCGAUGGUCCCUCGCACUUUACGCCUGGUUCCUGCCGGGAUUAGAUGCCGUGUGGAGAAACAAAGAAAGAAGUAGGGACAAUGUCGAGGGUCGGAGAAAAAGAGACGAAGAAGUACUUGAGGCAGCGUGGGCAGCCGCUAGCGCUGCAUUCCUGUAGGAUCAAGGAUCCCUACUUGCCUCGUGUGUGCAUUUACAUAUGCGGACACACGUGUGAGGAGCUUUGACUUGCGAGACGGACGCGUGUUUACGCACAUGCACCACCGCCAACUACAGACGUAAACGUAUCACUCAUACACGUAUGGUGACAUAAAGCUCUUCGCCUCUCACAUCGCCCGAUCGUCCGUAUCACAUACGUAUUUUUUUCAUCGCGCGCGCGUUCCAUAUGCGCGCAGGAACAAAGGGCACAGACUCCAGUGUGUGUGAAUACCGAAAUAAUGAUCUCGCGAGAGUCGAUGAAUUUGCGAAGUAAGACAAGUUACGCGACGGCUUUUCUCUUUUCUUCUCUUCUUUUUUUUUAAUAAUAAAUAACUUGGCACGCGA